UAAGUCGUAGAGUACCCAUCGAAUCAGU
rnacentral:piRNA from 1 species